CUAUGCGCCUUGCCCAGCCCGCUCAGGUGUGCCAGCCGCCGCGGUAAUACAGAGGUCGUCAAGCGUUGUUCGGAAUCACUGGGCGUAAAGCGUGCGUAGCGGUUUCGUAAGUCGUGUGUGAAAGGCGGGGGCUCAACCCCCGGACUGCACAUGAUACUGCGAGACUAGAGUAAUGGAGGGGGAACCGGAAUUCUCGGUGUAGCAGUGAAAUGCGUAGAUAUCGAGAGGAACACUCGUGGCGAAGGCGGGUUCCUGGACAUUAACUGACGCUGAGGCACGAAGGCCAGGGGAGCGAAAGGG
rnacentral:rRNA from 1 species